CCGUCUGAACCCUCCGGGGGGACGACGGCGGAAUGUAGCGGCGGACGGGUGAGUAACACGUAAAGAACCUGCCCAUAGGUCUGGGAUAACCACGAGAAAUCGGGGCUAAUACCGGAUGUGUCAUCGGACCGCAUGGUCCGCUGAUGAAAGGCGCUCCGGCGUCGCCCAUGGAUGGCUUUGCGGUGCAUUAGCUAGUUGGUGGGGUAACGGCCCACCAAGGCGACGAUGCAUAGCCGACCUGAGAGGGUGAUCGGCCACACUGGGACUGAGACACGGCCCAGACUCCUACGGGAGGCAGCAGUAGGGAAUCUUCCACAAUGGACGAAAGUCUGAUGGAGCAACGCCGCGUGAACGAUGAAGGCUUUCGGGUCGUAAAGUUCUGUUGUAAGGGAAGAACAAGUGCCGCAGGCAAUGGCGGCACCUUGACGGUACCUUGCGAGAAAGCCACGGCUAACUACGUGCCAGCAGCCGCGGUAAUACGUAGGUGGCAAGCGUUGUCCGGAAUUAUUGGGCGUAAAGCGCGCGCAGGCGGCCUCUUAAGUCUGAUGUGAAAGCCCCCGGCUCAACCGGGGAGGGCCAUUGGAAACUGGGGAGGCUUGAGUAUAGGAGAGAAGAGUGGAAUUCCACGUGUAGCGGUGAAAUGCGUAGAGAUGUGGAGGAACACCAGUGGGCGAAGGCGACUCUUUGGCCUAUAACUGACGCUGAGGCGCGAAAGCGUGGGGAGCAAAC
rnacentral:rRNA from 1 species